AGCAGCCGCGGUAAUUCCAGCUCCAAUAGCGUAUAUUAAAGUUGUUGCAGUUAAAAAGCUCGUAGUUGAACUUCGGGAUCAAUGGAUUGGUCAUGCCGAUGGUGUGUACUGGUCAUAUUGGUUCUCACCUUCUAAGGAACCAUAAUGUCAUUUAUUUGAUGUUGUGGGGAAUUAGGACUGUUACCUUGAAAAAUUAGAGUGUUUAAAGCAGGCUAACGCUUGAAUACAUUAGCAUGGAAUAAUGAAAUAGGACAUCGCAUUCUAUUUUGUUGGUUUCUAGGAUCGAUGUAAUGAUUAAUAGGGAUAGUUGGGGGCAUUAGUAUUCAAUUGUCAGAGGUGAAAUUCUUGGAUUUAUUGAAGACUAACUACUGCGAAAGCAUUUGCCAAGGAUGUUUUCAUU
rnacentral:rRNA from 1 species